rfam:Myotis lucifugus cont2.23807, whole genome shotgun sequence.
GGUGAUUCUCUGGUGACGCACCCCAGAAUCGGGCUCCCUCCUCUCUGGUUCUGGGUACAUCAUCCGAGAACUGCA